rnacentral:rRNA from 1 species
GAUUUCUGGUCUGGUGCGCCUGGCCCGCCGCUCUAAGCGUGUGAGUGCCGGGUCGCGCCUGCCAUCCUUCUAGAAAACGUAUCUCUACCCUUCACUGGGUUGGGGGUAUGCGAUCUAGAUCUUUUACUUUGAAAAAAUUAGAGUGUUUAAAGCAGGCUUUUGCUAUGAAUACAUUAGCAUGGAAUAAUAAUUUAGGACUUCGGUUCUAUUUUGUUGGUUUCUAGGACUGAAGUAAUGAUUGAUAGGGAUAGUUGGGGGUGCUAGUAUUCAGUGGCCAGAGGUGAAAUUCUCGGAUUCACUGAAGACUAACUUAUGCGAAAGCAUU